GUUCAUUAGUCAAAUAAAACUGAGAUGGGAAGAAUUCUGCUCCAGGGUAGAGUUCUACGGUGUGUCAAAGAAGGCAAUGAAUCCACCAAUGACCAUGGACAAAACUGAAGCCCACCUUGCACUGAUGAAGGCUCUUCCAACGCUCUUUCCCACACCUGCCCAUCCACCAAAAAAGAUGGGGAAUGCUUCUGAAGCAUUUCUACAUGUCCUGAAGCCUACAGAAGAUCCAGAUGCUGUCCUCCAGAAACGAAGCUUGUCAUGUCCAGUAGUGAUGUUCGAUGGCUGCAAGUGUGUCAUUGCUGUUGGUAAUUUACCAGUUACAACAUUUGACAAAGAAAAACUUGGUGAGGCUAUGAUAUAUGUGAUGGCAUACUUUUAUGCACUCCAUCUGACUUACCCGAAAUGCGUGGCAACCCUGCUGUCUGUCAUUCAGACAGAAGUUCUCCAGGAUGCCAUUCAUGAGCGUGACACUACAUCAUCUUACAGAAAAGCCCUGGCAGAAUGGCAUGCAUUUAUUGGAAAGUAGUGUGUAAAUUUCAGAUAAGAUUAUGAGAGGGCACUUCUGUUUUGUUUUUUGUUUUUUCAAUCUGGGUCUUAUUUCUAAAAUGGAAAAUGUUCAUUUACUCACCCAGACAAGUUUUGUGGUAUUUGGUGUCAUUCGGAAGAAAUUUGAAUCUUUGUGGUCUUCCUAUGUCACUCGUCAAUUUUAAUGGGGCAAUGGCGAAACCUCUAAGGCUGGUGAAA